CCCUUAGACACUCUAGGCGGCACGCGCGCUACAAUGGGUGGAAGAACGUGUUACUGCCUCCGAAAGGAGGGGUGAAUCACGAAUUCUUGCCCGUGAAUGGGAUAGUUUGUUGCAAUUUUCGGACUUGAACUAGGAAUCCCCUGUAAACAUGCUCAAGAAUAGCGUGUUGAAUACGUCCCUGCCGUUUGUACACACCGCCCGUCGUUUCUUCCGACUGAUACUCAUUGUGAGUUGCAAGGACCCUUUAUUGGGAAAUUGCUGCAAAUGCUUUGUAUUGGAGGAAGAAAAAGUCGUAACA
rnacentral:rRNA from 1 species